rnacentral:misc_RNA from 1 species
GUCUUGAUGUGCAGUUCAUUGGAUUGAACUUUCUGGAAUCCUUGGUAUCUGAAUUUUCACCAUCUACUUCAACUGCUAUGGCUCUUCCUAGGGAGUUCCAUGAGCAAUGCCGAGUCUCUUUUGAGUUAGAAUAUCUAAAGUUGUUUUACUGCUGGGCACAAGAUGCUGCUGUUAGUGCCUCCAAUAAAAUAGCUGAAUCAGAGGCUGCCAUUCCUGAAGUUAAAGUUUGUACAGCAGCAUUGCGUCUGAUGCUUCAGGUACUCAACUGGGACUUCAAAUGUGAUGCAAAUGUGCUAGACAAUGCAAAACGAGGCAUCAACAUUUUCUCCGCUGGGUUAAGGGGCGAUGUAAGCUCUCCUAAGAGGACUGAGUGUACCCUAGUGCAGCCUGGAUCCUCCUGGCGGGGUAUACUUGUGUCGAGUGGUCACAUCGGAUGGCUUUUAAGCUUUUAUGAAGCACUGAGGCAGAAGUUUUCGUGUGAAGGAUACUGGAUU